AACUUUCGACGACGGAUCACUUGGCUCUCGCAUCGAUGAAGAACGCAGCGAAAUGCGAUAAGUAAUGUGAAUUGCAGAAUUCAGUGAAUCAUCGAAUCUUUGAACGCACCUUGCACCCUUUGGCAUUCCGAAGGGUAUGCUCGUUUGAGUGUCAUUGUACUCUCAUGCUCCCGAUGCUUUUGGAUCGGGAGUGGUGGACUUGGGUGUUGCUGCUUUACUGUGGCUCACCUCAAAUGGAGUAGUGCAACUCUUGGUUGGACAUAGUACGGCGUGAUAAGUGUCUUCGCCGGCGCAUCAUUAGAGGGUGGCCGAUCGGGAGCUCUGUGCUUCAAACCGUCUUCGGACAACAUCUGACAACUUGACCUCAAAUCGAGUAGGACUACCCGCUGAACUUAAGCAUAUCAAUAAGCGGAGGCU
rnacentral:misc_RNA from 1 species